GCAAAAGAUUUUCCAUGAUUUUAGGCAAAUCUUCUACUUAAAUCACGGUGCAAAAGAUAAUCUUCUCCAAUUUGCAACUGUGAACAUUUUAUUACAAACUUUUCUGUGCUUUUUGAACUAAAAAAAAAAAGAGAAGGGGAGAGAGAGAUGGAGAAAUAGAAACAUCACCAUACUCUAUUUUACCAGCAAUUCUGAAUCGAAGAAGUAAAGAACAUAAUCAUAAUGUCAAACUCGAAGAACGCUAUCUUCUAGGACUCAACAACACAAAGAUAUGGAGAACAUAUGGGUCUAGGAGGGAAGUGACAACAGUAUCCAUGUCGUCAGUAGUGAAUCACAUACCUGCAGCUCCUAUACUCAUUCCAGAUUGACCUUGGAAACAGGUGACUGGAAAUUUGUGUUCGAUCUUUUUAUCCAUGUUUUUCACAAUUGUUUUUCGGUGCAUAAUUUUUGAAUUGUAAUUGCUGUAUGUUUUUGUUUUAUGUAUCAUCUUUGGAGGUGUAGGUGUAAGAAAAAUCUAGACGUGGAAGUGGAGAGAAAGAUUACAAGGUAUUCUGAUGGUGAAGGUAGCUCAAUUUGUUUUAUCAAGUUUCAGGUGGUGUAAACAUGCUGCUGGAACUUUUGCUAAAGACUAAAGUGCCCAUCUUUGGAGCAGUCUCAUAUCUGGCAAUGGCUGUUCUUCUCAGUUGUGCUUUCUUUUAUGACAUAUUCCUAUCAGAAAUAUUGUGCUUAAUUUCUUGAGAACUAACUAUGCCAAAAAACAGAUGAGAGAGAAAAAAGAGAUACAGAGGAUCAAAGAAAGAGAGAGAUCCAACGACUAUGGGUGAGACCUUGAGAACUAAGGGAAGCAUUAACUGGGUGUUUUUUUCUUAAACAACUCACAAAAUUAUUUAAUUUUCUGGUGAGUUUUUGUUGUUUCAUUUUUUGAUUCUUUUUACAUAAUAUUGUUUUUUUUUUUUUUGUAUUUGAUCAUGUUUGUUGACUGCUAAAAUGUUUUUUUUUUUUGAUUUGGUGAUAUGUAUAAUUAUGAACGUUGUUGUCGUUUCAUGAUUUUAAGAUUUAGAGUGUCACAAUUUAUGCCUGGAUUCAUUUUCAGUCAAUUGUGUUUAAUGGGAUUUGAUGGAAUGUGGAGGAGAGUUCAAGGAGUAAAUAGAAGGUGACUGGGAUUUGAUGAUCCAAGAAGCAUGUUACUGCUGUCAAGGAAAGUUGUUCAUCUCCCCGCCGCUUACCAUGCCACAUUAUCCUUGGUAAUGCUUUUUGGUGAUUAACAGGAAUACAGGAUACCUCUCUGACUUUAAUUUUAAUUUACUUUGCGGAGGAAGAAUUUCAUAUGCAGCAGCAGCAUCUUCCUCCUUUUUCAUUUUUCCGGCAUAUCUGCUUACUCUGUAGCAUGGGAAGCCUAGCACAUUUCCUUCGUUCAGAUACUGCGGCGUCAAGAAUAAUGAUUUCUGCAAGUAGUAUUAUGUAUGAAAAACGACAUUAUAUAACUAAUUGUUUUAUAGAGAACGGGGUAUAUAUUGAUAUUACUGUCACCUCAUGGCUUAUUUCUUUUUGUUAGUAAAGUCACCAAAGUCAAUAAUAAUGUAUAACAGUAUAAGCAAACACUUAAUUAUAUUGUCAGACUUGAUCGUUUCA